UCCAAAGCUUAUACACAAUCCUAACUAAUCCUCCUCCAGAACUGGAAACGCCUUCCAGCCACAGGAACAACUAGAGUACUCCUCAUCACCUACAACAACAUGGGUUCGAAAACCCUGAGUACGGAGUGUACUUUCGCAAGUCUUACCCGACUAAGAAAAAAUGACUCUCAAGGAUAUGCUGGUUAAAUAGGAAUCAAGGAAAAGGCUUUAGCAAGAAUCAACUUAGAUACUUUUUGCAGAAAUAGCUUACUAAAGUAAGUCCUUUUAAUAUUUAACGCCAGAUUAAAUAUUAAUAGAGUCUGGUUGCAUCUAGUCUAAUUUCACCAUCUCAUCAAUACAACAUCAUUUUUAUUCAUAAGUUUACAUUCUGACUUAGGUUGUAGGUCGGAUAUCAAGUCUCCACUCUCCGGGGAUAUAACGGCGAUCCGAAUCGAUUUACUCAUCUGAGGAUCUCUAACCACACGACAUAUAUUUCUCGUAACUCUUGCAUAUGUCUACCAUUCUCGCGGAUCCUCCACUGCAUGAACAGGUCCGCGCCACCCGAGAGCACACCACCCCUUUUAGGCGGUCCUUUGCCAGGAGGGUACGUGCCACUCUCGCCAUCUCUCCACUCCCAGUGCGUGAUUGUCUUUUCAUGUAUGGAAUAGCCGGGUUCAAGCUUACCCUGUCCCAUAUCCAGGGCAUGUGGCUAGUUAAGAUAGUCCUUGAUCAUACAGGCCUACAUACGCAUCCAAUCCUUAAUUAACCUGGGUGGAGCAUCACCUGUUCCUAACCCAAGUCUCGAGUUAAGUACUUCCACCCUUAGGAUUGUUUUGUGUUCCUUAGGAUGAAAAGAGCAUUAUAGGGAACUUUGCAGUAAGAUCUCACCAUGCUCCCAAUGAAUAUAUUCUUGUAGGUAGAAGCCAUCCUUCCUCAGGAUAACCCUGAGCUAGGCAUUAUUGCAAAAGACAACCUCUAUCCACAAGAUCUAAGCAGGGCUAAGCAUUUUUGUAAAUCAUAUUUUGAUACUUCAUCAUAAGUAUCUAUAAAGGUAUGGAUAUCUAGGUAGGCAAUGCAUCCAAUAGUUUUCAAGCAACUCCUAUAAAUUUAAUGCACAUUUCACUAGACUUAAAGUGUAUAAAAAUCUUUUUAAAAAUACAAGGAAGGGGUAAAUGCACCGGGGCUUGCCUUAUUGCAGUGAAGAGGUACUCGAUCCCUCUAUUAAACCCCAGUUAGAUGGAUCCUCCACUUGAUCAGCAGCCACUGGAGUAGAUUCCUCUUCAGUCACCACUUCAGGUUGAAUCUUCACUCCUUCUGGUAGGAGUUCUAUAUGAAAUGACAUGAUCAUGGAUGUUUAUGCUUAUGCAACUUGAAAAGAAAAUACUAAGAAGCAUCGCAAGACUGCACCUCUCUAAAGGUGCACACAAAAACUAACAAAACCUUAAGAGAGCUAAAUACUCUAAUAUCACAACUCAAUUCACCAACUAAACUAGGAAACCUUGCCUCCAUAACCAACCAAGCACUUCAUUAUGCCCUAAGCAAGGAUCCAAACUGCAUGUACUACAAGUUAUAGUGUCCAAGAAUCAGCCACAAUUCACUGAACCUGCUUUCAGUUCUCUGAAUUCAUCUUCCAUUGCUCCAUUCCUCUCCCUCUGUUCAAUGCCUUUUAUCUCAUAAACUCACAUGACAAGAGACCCCACUUACUUAACCAAAUCUAUUCCCUAAGUAUUGCUCUUCCACUUUGGUAUAACACUCCAAGACUGAAAAUACACAUUGCAAAUUCAGUUUUCAGGCAGCUGAAUGAAAUUCAGUCUCUGCAACUGAAAGUCCAUCUUUGGGCAGUCUUUACACCACUUUGUGUGUGGGGUCAACCCCAACUCACUUAAAGGAUGUUGUUCUCUAACCCAUGUUCUUCAAACUUGCUGCAGAAACUUUGGUUCAAAGCCACCUGGAACAGGCACUACACAGCUCCAAAACUGCACUAAAAUUACUGAUUUCAGACUUUCAGUUCUGAAUAGACUAAGUCACCAACCACCUGACAGUCAAACUUUUGGCCACUUUUACUCCCAAAUUUAUGUAGAACCAGGUCCAUCUCACUUUAUCAAACUUGUUCACUUUACUAUGGUCUACAACUUUGCUAUGGAACCCUUAAUCCAAACCCCAUGAAUCAGCCACAAAUGAAUUCCAAACUAGGCAUACUGCUGCAAUUCAGUUCACAGAACUGAAUAAAAAAAUUUAGUUGUGUCCAGCCUGACAGUCCAACUUUAGCCAACCUUUUCUCCAACUUUUACACAGCAACAUACCAAGCUCACAUUACCAAAGUUAUUCCUUAGAUAUAGCUCUACUACUUUGGUAUAGCACACCUAGGUCGAAAACAUUCAGAACAAUUUUUUUGAAGCACCAAAAUAGAGCCAAAACCACUGCAACCCCAUUUUGUGUUCUGAAUCAGCAUUUAUUAUGUCUGACAGAGAAUAUUUGGACAUGUUUUACUUCCAAUUUGUAGCACCAAGCCCAUCUCCCAUUAGUAAUUUUGUUCAUCUUACUAUGGUCUUCAAACUUGCUACAGAACUUUGGCCCAAAACCAAAUAGACUGGGCACAAUAGAGCUCUAAAGUUGAGCUCAACACACUAAAACCUGGUUUCAGCUUUCUGCACUAAGUCUGGGAACCAAAAACCUGACAUCCUAUUUUUGAGUGAAUUUUACACCUAGUUCCCAGCAACAUACAGUGGUAGAGUUCAAAUAGUAAAUGGUGUGAGCUUCACUGAUCGAUUUAGAGCAUGGAACAUAUACCACACAGCUGAGAAAGCUAUUGAGAUUACCUGGCCACUGUGAUGUGGACAAUGGUUACCACGGAGAGGGCUGGCGUGCUCGGCUCUAGUUCAGAUCAAGGCUAGAGACUGGGGAGAGGAAGUUACACCAUCUUGACGGCAUAAGGACCACCUUACAUAUGCAGGGAAUCCAGAGCUCAAUGACAGUAAGGAAGCUUCCCAUAUCCAUGCCCUAUAAGUACCUGAAUAUGGGUAAGGUGUCCCUACACUUGUUCAGCAUGCAGUGGAGAGUGUUUUCUAGAGUGCCAGCAAUACAUGAACUUAUCUAUGUGGCUCACAUGCUCACAUCCCACUCAGAUUCACAGGUUCAGCAGAUACACAGCACCUGGUUGAUAUUUUUCUACAGCCAAAAUAUCCGUCCCUUCGUUCAGUAAACAGAUAGGAAAGGGAGUAGAUAAGUCUCCCAUUUGGGUAUGCACUAUGGUCCAAAACUUGAUAUUUGCUACUGGGGUGAAGGCGUGAAGCCACUGGAUUUUUGCUGUCCAGUUAAUUCCACCACAGAUCCUAUAGAUAAGGCCUCACUGCCUACCAAAACAGUCCAAAUCUGCUAUUUUCCCAGUAGCAAAUAAGGCCUCUAGACCCUUAGUGAUGUAUCUCAACCUUGACUCCAUCCAAUACUCGAGUAACCUAACAGAGAGGAAGUGAUCUUCAGAAUCCGAAUGCCACAUUGAACACAACUGUAUCAGCCUGCUGCUUCAUUCCAUUCCUCCCAGUUCAGGCCCUCUGAUCUCCCAAUUCUUCAUAGCAACAGACCACUCUUCCUUAACCAAAAUUAUUCUCUACUUGUAUCUCUACCUAAUUUGUAUAGAAACCCUUGACUGAAAACAUAUAGAACAAAAGAUAUGGUACCUCAAAGUACAGCCAAAGUCACUGAAAAUUCAGUUUCAGAAAUCUGAAACAGCACCACAGCGUUUGACAGAGGGUUUUGCCACUCCUUUUUCUCUAAAUCCUACACCAUAUCAAGCCAACUCUCUACAUGAAACUUGCUAUCCUUCAGAUGAUUUUUAACUUUGCUACAUAGAGUAGGGCUCAUACUCCAUGGAUUAAUUACUACAGAGCUCCAAACAGAUAACCCAACACUGAAAUUCAGUCUUCAGUACACUGAAUAUAACUCAGUUUCAGUCACCUGACAAUCCAACUUUGAGCCAGUUUUACUCCACUUUUUCUGUAGGAUCAUGCUAUACCCACUUACUGAAAACUAUUCACCAUCAUAGUGUAUUUAUUUCAUCUACAAAUACUAUAGCCUAAAACUUUAUAGGCUAGCCACAAACCAGCUUUCAAACAGCCAUCAAAACACUGAAACUCAGUUUCAGUUACUGUUUCCAAUCUGAAAAUUCAGAAAUACAGCAGCACCACUUAGAACCACUCUUUUGCCUGGGUUCCAAAUGUUUCUAGGGGCAAGUUGCUUAAUAAAGUUUUUACUGCUAUAGCUCCUCUACAAGUUUGAUAUAGUGACCAUUAACCAAAACCUCCUGGAUUCCAAACCACACUAGCUCAAAGUUCGCUCCAAUUGCUGAAAUUCAGACUCUGAAUUCUUCCAAGUCUGAAAUCCAGAAACUCUGUUAGCUCUUCUUUGGAUUAGUUUUUCUCCAAUUUCCAUAGAGUGUUAGGGCUAGAUGACUUAACCAAACUUAUACUCCUCAUGUAGCUCUAUGACUUUGUUAUAAUGAUCAUCUUCAAAAUGGUUCUAGAUCAUACGUUACAAGGGUCCAAAGUUGUCUAGUUUACAUUAUUUUCAGCAAUUCCAAAAUGAACCCAAAACUGAAUUUUUGUACUUAACUCCAAAUUCUUCCACACAACUUAUGAAUAUCCAAAUUAGAAACAUAUCCACUUUUCCAAGCUCUACAACUUUGGUAUAUGAACUUUUAACCAAUCCUUUCUAGAUUUUAAAUUCCACCUUUGGGCAAGUUUAGGGCUUAUAGAUACUCAACCACCCUAAGUGCUUCACCACUUCUAAUCCACAUAUCAAAAGCAAACUUCUCCAUUCUCCUAAAUAAAAGUUACUCCUUAGUCUCAAAUCCAACUUUGGUAUAUAUAACUCAGAUCCAAAGUAUCCUUGGUUUAGGAGUUGUUUGCUUACACAUAAUUGCAAACAAACUUUCAACCCUCACAUUAAGGUUUCUAAGUUGACCCUUCAGCUCAGGUGUUCCUUCCACUUGAUCUCCCUUUGAAAAUAAAGUUGCUCUAGGUCCUAAGUCUUACCUUUAAUACUUUAAAUUCCAAGCCAACUUAUUACUUGCUCAAGAGACGACUUUUCUUCCCAUGUCUUAAGCAAAGUUCUUAAUCUGAGCCCUGUACUCUAAUACACAACACCACAUUCAUUGAAUUUUUUUGACCUAGUGAAUGCAUUCUAGGUAUAUCAAACAAGAUAAUGUAAAUGCUUAUGAUGACAUGUCAGAGUUUUAGUUAACGUAACACCAGGGGUGUUACAGAAAUGUCCCCUUUCCUCUGAAACCAUAGAGUGGGUUGUCGGUUGGCAGAAGUAGGCUGUGGUUGAUGCCCAUCUGGUCGAAAGCAUGCAGGAGGAUGAUGUCGGCUUGGCUCUCGUUGUCAACGAGGACCUUGUGUAGCUCCCAACCUACCACAUUGCAACUGAUGACGAGUGCGUUCGUAUGGAGCACGCUACGAAGGUCGACAUCUCUUGCGUCAAAGGUUAAUGGUACAUGAGACCACUUCGUCUAGAUGACAUGUCUUGUGACGGUGACAUGGUUGACCCUUCGAUGGUGAUCCCUUUUUUGUCGUUUAUUCUCGAAAUCCAAGCUAGACCCUCCGGUGAUCAUAUGAAUCACUCCUCUGAAGGGUGGAUCAAUGAAGUCUUCUAGCUUUGGUGGUGGGGGUGGUAGGUGUUGAUUUGGAUGCUAUGGUGGUGGUGGUGGCAGGGCUAACCUUUCUUUGUGUUGAAGGCAUUGUUGAUGUGGAAAGUGAUCGGGUUUUUGCUAUUGGGGUAGUAUGGGUGCUCGUUUUGGUAUUGAUGCUGGUGGUACUGUUGCGGUUGAUAGGUAUGAGCGAUAACUCGUUGGUGGUCUGCCGGGACGACCCUAGCCAUUCGGUCCUUUGUCGCCCUGGUCUUGGGGCAAUCCUUGGUUGGGUGCACUGAGUCUUCGCCAUGGAAGACACAUUAAAAUCUUCUCGAUUGCUGAGGGCCUCGACCUUUACCUCUGCCCCUGGUUGUGUUAACACCACGACCUUGUUGCGGGGGGUGGGGAGGGGUAGCUUUGACGACGAGGGGGGUUCUCUCCUAGUUACUGUUGGUUUGCAAUGUUAUGCACCUGGCGUUGACCACACUCUUGUUGGAAUGGAUCCUGCUGCGUAGGCCUAAUCCAUGUCCUGCUGGAUUGCAGAGUCCCUUUUGGUUUUUGCUGACACUCGACUUUUCUUUGGUGGAGUUCUUCUGAUCGGGCAUACUUUUUGAAGAGCUGGUACAACUCAUGCAGGUUGGUUGGUGGGUCCCCUAUGCAGUGGUUGUAUAAGACGCCUGCUCGAAGGCCGCUGAAAGCAUCUAGGCCCCUGGUUGGUUUUAGUGAUUAAUGACAACGUAAUAUUACAUGUGACUAACGUGUAUUUUGCAGAGGCAAAUGGUAAGUUAGGUCACAUUACAGGUAGAUGUACUACAACAGUGGAAACAAUCCCCGAGAUAAGAACUUGAAGCGACAGCUAAAGCGACGAAACAUAAAGUGAAGGUCUUCUUAUUCCGAGUGGCAAGGAGUUGCGGACACUCGUGAUAUAGUUAGGUCUUUUAUUUUGUUUUAGUCGUACUAUAAAGAGGGGUUGUCGAUGAGUAGUUUGACCAAGAGAGUUCUAGUGUAGUGUUGGUACAUAUUCACACUCACAUAUAGUGCCAGAUGUCACUCUAGAACAUACUCACGAGUUAGAACGAAAACCGAUUUGAAAGAUAGCAGAAAAUAGAAAUUAGGGUUUCUGUCUGUGGGGCACCGGACUAUCUGGUGCGCCCUCUGUCAGGUGGGGCCAGGUUGGCCCGGGGAAGGUCUUUCCCCCUCGCAGAAACCCGAGAGAGCAGGGUUUGGAAGUUGAAUUUUAGUGGCACACCGGACAGCGCACCGGACUGUCCGGUGCGCACCGGACAGUGAUUGUUCACUGUCCGUUGUGCCAUCCGCCCAACGGCUAGCUGUCAGAACUAGCCGUUGGAGUCGACCGGUGGCGCACUGGUGGCGCACCGUUGGUGCACCGGUGGCGCACCGGACUGUCCGGUGCGCCCAUGCGCAGCAGAUUCCACGUAACGGCUUGUUGGUGGGUGAGGGCUAUUUAUACCCCCUCCACCCACCAUAUUCAUUGUCUUGCUGCCCACAUUUACUCCUACACAUUGGUAGAGAAUUGCAAGCACCACAAAGCCUAGUGAGGUGAUUAGAGAAUCUUAAUCCCGCAUUUGGACCUCAUUAGCCCUAGCGAGAGCCACCUAGAGCACACACCGCAUGCAUUAGGCUUCUCUUGGUCAAGCGAAAGUCUACGGCUUGUUACUCUUGGUGAUCGGCAUCACCUAGAUGGUUUGGUGGCGUUGGGAGCUCGGUGAUCACCGUGGAGAUCUUGUUGGUGACCCGACUCAAGUUUGUAAGCGGUCAUGAGGGAUCCACCGCACCGGAGUGGCAAAAGAUCAUCUCGUAGUGAGCACUUGGUUCUUGCGAGGACCAAGGGGAGCGAUAUCCUUGCGCGGGUGCUCCAACGAGGACUAGGAGAGAGUGCCCACUCUUCGAUACCUCGAGAAAAAUUGGAGGAGUCUUCUAAACCUUGCUUUACAUUCUGCACUUAAAUCAAGCAUUUUAUAUUGUAUAUUUGUUUAGCAAGUAUUUGAAGUAUUGUCUUAGCAUUAUUGUAUUUAUAGUAUUACUAGAAAGUAUGGUGCACCGUUGGCGCACCAUUAGUUAGCUAUGGGCUUGGGUAUUUAAUUUUCUGUUAUGUAUGUAGGCAUUAUAUUGUCGGCGGGUUGGAUGAAACAAAUAUUUAUAGUGAUCAAGUGGAUGGUACUAAAUCUUUCCCUAAAUUUUUUGGUGAUUGGAGACAGUAAGCAAAAAUAUAUUUUUAUGGAACUACAUUGAGAAACAAAAAUACUCAGACCAUUUUCCCAUGUAUAUAUAUACCUAAUAUUAAAGGAAAAGUGGAUUCUUCUAUCCAUCAUAUUUUACUUCAUGCAAGUGCAUUUGCUACUCUGAAUAAAAGGUAAUAUGCAACCUAUGUUUGAAAUGGUUGGCCUAAAACAAUUGCAAAAGGUCACUUAUAUGUGACUGACUGACUGUAGAGAGAGUAGGUCGCUAGGACUGCUAUUGUGUACCUUCCAAAGAUGUUUUGAUGGUACAAUUAUAUUUUUUCCAUGUAAGUUAUUCAUACGACAUGUUUUUAUUUAUGCAUGGAAAGAGUUCAGGUAACCUUUUUCCUACACCUUGCAGUCAGUACAAUAUUAGGACUUGAAGAAGGAAAAUAUUGCAUAAUUGUUGGAACUUUAUAUUUUUCUUAAGCUCGCGAAGGGAAUAUGGAGAUGCCUCUCGAGAAGCAAAUGGCAAGGCUAUGGAACCAAGAUGUCUUUUAUUAUUGAUAAAAAAUAUGAGUGAGCAAUGAAUAUCAUAUGAAUAUAAUUAAUUAUUUCAAAUGGUUAGUGUAUUCUCUUUUGUUGAUAAUCUACAUGCAAAUGUUUUAUUAAUGUUUUAAUCUACUCAUUAGCAAAGGAUGUUCAGAGAUGUAUGUUGAAUAAUUGUGACUCUUCCUCUUUCUUCUUUUUAUCUUUUUUACUCUCUCUUUUCUUUCCGCGAGUCUCCUUUGGUCUUUGGUAUUUUGCCUAGCAGACUGUUUGCUUGGCAGACUCCACUCAUUUUCUUCUUUUUAUAUAGCAGAGGACUGAGGACAUUCAUCAUGUGACACGUUUCCAUUACUAACGUCAUCAAGGUUAUCAUUGCAAAAAUGAAGUACAGUCAGUGUUGUAGCUGUAGGAGCAAAAAGUAGUGAACAAAUUAGCACAAGACAAGCAAACUGAUUUUUCUGCACAAUAGUAGUUCACUUUUAGACAGAAAAGAAGGCGCAUGUGAAUCAAGCAUUGCAUGCAGUUAGGAAUGAAGAUUUGGCAUGCUCCUACCAAAACUAAAACCAUGUGUCGCCAUUAAGGCUUUGUUGACCAUGAUGAUACCAACAGAUGUGACGACAUUGAACAUCCAUGCGCCAGCACCUAGUACUGCUUUCCGCUCUGCCUUGCUUCUUGGCGCCAUACUUUCUUGACAUGUAGAGUCUAAUACUCAAAUUUUCUAUAGGGGGAGAACCCAGUAAAGGACACAGAUGUUCCAAUAUUUUUCCAAAAAAUCGAAGUUAGUAUGUAUGUACAUGCUUGGUAAUUAGAUUAGAUCCGGAUGCAAAUAGCCAGAUAGCUCAAGUUAGGGUUCCGAUGGUGCUAGGUACCACACAGCAGAAAAGGAAGAGAAAGGGUAUACCCGACGAGGAACUGGACACUUGGCGUAGUCUGGCGGCGGCGCUCACUUGCUGCACGAGAUUCGCGGGCACUAGGGCCUGGACGGAGAAGGGAGAGAAGGCAGGGGUGAAGUUCGCGGCUCGGUCGGUUUGGUAGUUCUGUGUUAGACUGGUAU
rnacentral:lncRNA from 1 species